UCAUCCUGCAUAUCAUGAACCUGGCCUUGAGCAGCAUCACCAGGCCCGGCCACUACUUCACCAAUCUAGCAAUUUGGUUGGGCAAUAAAUGGGAUUAGAUUAACUAGAAAUUAAAGGUUAGAUGGCAACAAAGAAAGGCAGUAGCAUGUCAAGGAUAGAUGGCUCCCAGAGUGCAUAACUACAUCUUGAUGCGAUAAAAUAGCCCCAAAUAAUUAAGUCAAAAACUUAAAUCGUUGCAGCUGGAGAUUGAUUUAUGCCGUAGUGAUGAUCAUCAGAAAAAGCAGUUUGGCUUCUCUCUGUUUCUGCUUUCUGAAAUGCUGGCUUCUCUGUUCUCUCUAAACUGAUGUAUUUCCAUUGCUCUGGUAAUGGAAAUGGGAAAGCCUCGGUUCGAAAAAAACAAGUCACAAUUGCAUUAAAAAAUAAACAUGUACAGAAAACCUUGUCAAAAUCAAGUAGUUUCUUAUGAAAAAGGUAAAGAAAAAAAUUCACAGCAUGUUUAGUCUGGUACAAUCUCCAGGAGCAAAACCGCUAUGAACUAGCUGUCGUAUUCAGAACACAAUCCCUGAAUAUGGAUUAUGGAAGACUAAAAUAGCACCAACUUUUGGUAAUUCGGGACCACUUUUACCAUGUCAAAAAUUUGCUACCAAUUCAUAUGGAAGUACAUGAUAAACUAACAUACUGAAGCAACCAAAAUGAUAAGACAACUAUACUUCUGUGAUUAAAUUUGGCAAGUUCAUAGAAUAUUAAUAUUCUUUCAAGUUCACUAUUCAGAAAGAGAAACCUAAACAUGAAAUGCUCAUAUCUAAGAUCGAGUUACUGGAAACACCUUCUUACUUGGUUUUGGAUUACUUGGGAGGCAGUUCUGUAUCGAUCACGUAUUAGCCUCCCUGGUUCAACUGCAAACAAAGCACGCUAAUACCUGAGCCAGACCAUGCAACUGAUACAAAAAAAUGUGAAAAGACAAUCAAUUUCUACUAAUCGCUGCACAUUUUGAUCUGGUGAAACAUAACGAUGACUGAUUUUCAUUCAUAACUAAUAUGGAGAGUUCCUCCCUCAUAUUCCUAAAAUUUAUAGUUCUGAACAAUACCAAAUUUUGAAGCUGGGGAUUAACAGAAGCACCAAGAACCAACUUUGACGGUUCACUCUUAACCAACUAAUCAAAGACUAAAUAAAGUAUAAUUUCUGAACGAAAAGAAGACAUGAAGCAAGUUUUUCAAUGUUUGGAAUAAAGUCCAUAUUAGCAUGGAAAAAUGACAAAGUGAGUAGCAUCUGAACAGCAGUUUGGCAAAUUAUGGCAAAGUGAUAAGGCACAUAGGGAUAUAUAGUUCAAGUGAUUCUUGACCUGCUUUUUCUGAUUACCAGUUCAAAUUACCAGUUCAGAACACAGCAAAAUAGUUUCUGGAGGUGAUGAUCAAUACUCUAUCAUAGUCUGGGAUAAGCAGAUUUUCAACCUUUUGGAAUAACUAAAGGGCCAGGAAGCACCGGAAGAGAUUGUUCAUAAUGGACCCUAUACAAAACAAUGAAGGUCGUACGCCAUUUGCAGACUUGACAAACUCCAUUAAUGGAGCUGUUCAUACAUCAUCAAAUUCACAAGUGCAAGCUGAUGAACGUGUGCAACGUAAAAGGGAAAGAGAAAAGGCAAGACAUGCAACAAUGAGUCAAGAACAAAGGGAUGAAAAAAAUAAAAAACGUAGAGAAAAAUAUCAUAAAAAAAGGCAGAAACUUCACAAGCUGCUGGGUCUAGAGGUCCACCGUAUUCUAAUUUUUCGUUUUUGAAUUUUGUAUUACCAUUUUUUUCGUUUAUGUGAGACAUAUAGUAUUGUAUAUCACCUACUUGUAUUAGUCAUUUGUUUGCUUAUUUAGAAUAUAAUUAUGUUGUACCAGAUGGAUUUAAAUCAACCACGGAAAACACCAAUGGCUAUGAAGAUAGUGACUGGCUACAUCGAGACAAUUCAUAUAAACCCGUUUCGAGUGAUAAAGAAAACACAUAUAAUUACUCCGAUAGAUAUGUAGAUCAAAGUGGCAUGCUUGACUUGACUGUUGCAUCACCUGAUCUAAACCCAGGUAUAUUAUUUUUUUAUUAAUGUUAUCUAUUUGAGAAGAAAAAAUAGAGUGGCCAACCCAAUUGUCAUUCAUGACAAUGUAACACGGA